UAAAGAUAUCAUUCGGCGGGAUACAGAAUUCCUCGCUUAUUUGUUGAAAGGGCUUGAUUUUAUAAUCCUCUGUUAUAACUAUAAUUGUAUUUAUUCCCUUGCUCUUUCAAGAGUUGAUCUAAUAUUAUUUAGCAUAUCAUUAAUCACUGAGAUUGGUAGUGCAUCUAUUAUUCUAUUCAUUAUUCACUUUUUUUUCCAAAUAUAUCCCACCAACCUGCUAGAUCUCUAAUUAUAUGUGAUUUGGAUCCUGCCUCAGCUGUAAAGUUUUUAUUGAGAUCUAAAAUCUAGAAUAGAGAGGAUAAAUUGUCUACCCCUGUGCUGUCUUUCUCUAUUGAAUACCAUUUUUCCUUUUCUGCGGGUGUAUUCUGUGACAACAUUAUAUGAAUCAGCCUACAGGCCUGAUAACAUUGAGGAUUUCUGGGAAACUCAAACCUCCAUUUUGUCUUAUCCUGGCUAAAUUUUUAAUUUUCACUCUUGGUUUCUUUCCAUCCCAGACAAAUAUUUAAAAAGAGGCAUGUAACAUUAGUGACCAGUUUUCGGGACAGUUAAGAGGGAUCAUUCUCCAUAAAUAGAGCCAUCUUGGUAUUUAAUGUUUAUGGAUAUAUUUUUGGAAAACAUAAAGGCCACCGCACUUUUUUUUCUUUCAGAGCCACGCUUAUAAUAAGCGGAUAAUUAAUAGAUCUUAUAUUAAUUUUGUCAGUUUUUAUCCAAUGUGUUUCUUGUAAUGCACAAACUUGUAUUUGGUUUUUAUUCAGGAAAUCCAGAAUUAGGGAUCUUUUAAAUGGUGAGUUAAUCCCACGGGCGUUCAAUGAUGCUAGCUUAAUUUAACAAUUUCUGCCAGCUCAAAGGGCUCUCUCUCUCCAAUUUGUACAUCAGGGCUAUCAUAACAUAGGGUAUGUAAAAAAGUUUGAAAAUUACACACAUAGACAGGCUGGUCCUAAACAAAGGAAUCAGCCUAAGACACAGCUUGUGUAUGGCAAACACUCCCUGCCAUACUGUAUCUCAAGCAAUAUACCCCAUUGCUCACUAAAUGAACCCACUUAUCCUGUGGGUAAGCGUGCUGGGUUAGAAACCUAAGCAUCUAAUGGGUAUCACACUGUACCAAAAAUAAAUAAAUAAAUAUAGAAAUAAAUCAAUACAGAGGAGAAGAGGUAAAAUAAAAGAAAGUAAUGGCAUCACAACCCCGUCACUCAGCCAAAGAACCCUUAGGACAUUACAUUAUAGUGUUCUGAACUUCACUUAAAUGUGAAGUAUUUAUUAUGUGCUUCUAUUCCCAGAAUCUCUCUCUCUAAAAAAAAAAGAAAAACCUAUUCAUUCCAAUUUGUAAUCGUGUAGAG